UUUACCUAUUUUUGUGGGAGACGGUGAAAACUGAAAAGCUUUGAGAAAUCAGAAAGUAAAUGGCUAGAGAGAAAAAAAGCCCUGGUUUAAAGAUCCUCUGGCUCUGGACCUUCGGCACCGCCGCCAUUUUGGUUACAAAUGUGGUGAGGACUAGACUGAGAGACAUGGAGCAAAUGAUGAAUUCUCAACAACAGCAACAAGAAGGCGCUAUUCCUGAUGCAGUUAUAGUUGACACCUCGCCAGAGUCUAAUGAGGGAAUUGUUAGAGAAGUUAAAUGAUAGAUCUCGCAGAUUUUCCACAUGAACUUCACCUCAGCUGUGAAAGUGCACCACUCUUUGCCCAUUGACCUUGGAAUUAGUAACUAUUAACAUAGAGCUGAGGGUGCAAUUUUGAAUAAAAAUUUCCUCAUCAAAGUGAAGGAAUAGUUGAUCACUUCUGAUGGGUGAAAAUUCUUGUUUUAGCAAGGCUGAAUUAUGACCUUGUUCACUUUUGUUGUUCUAGUGCUAUGAUUUUAUUAUAGAGAGUAUUGUCAGUUUAA